AUCGGAGCAGUCUGCCAUUAUUGGUAAUGCCACAUCUACUGUUUUUUCUCAAGAUUCGGCAACUGCAUCUGUAGCCAGUGAUAACAAGCAGGAUGUUAAGCCCAGGACAGAUGUAAAGCUUAGCCAUUUGGCUUCAGGGAAUGAUUCAAAUAUGAGUACUCAGACAACAGAAACAAGACUAGCCGACCUUUUAGAUAGCACACUUUGGAAUAGGAGGCUUGCUCCUUCUUCUGAAAGAAUUGUCUAUGCAUUGGUUCAACAAAUAUUUCAUGGCAUAAGAGAGUAUUUCCUGGCAUCAACAGAACUAAAGUUCAACUGUUUUCUCCUCAUGCCUGUUGUUGACAAGUUGCCUGCAAUGCUUCGUGAAGACUUAGAAUCUGCUUUUGAAGAUAAUUUAGAUAAUGUUUUUGACAUCACCAACCUGCGGCAUUCAGUAGCGCAAGACAAACGGCAAACUGAAAUUGAGCUAAAAAGGGUACAAAAGCUUAAAGAGAAAUUUCGCUACAUACACGAACAACUUAAUUCACAGCAGGCCAUGUUUGGGCAGUAACAAAGUCAUCAAUUGUUGAU
rnacentral:misc_RNA from 1 species